UGAAGUUUGAUUUAAUAUACAAGGAAUGCGAAUAAGAAGCAGUUUGUGUUCGUGUUCCGCUGAUGUCAUGAAAGUAGUGGCACUGAUUAACAUACCUAACAAAUGCAAAUGGUUGCCUUACUCGAUUUGCACGCGCGCAAAAACGUGCAUGCUCUUAUUAACAAAUGGACUCACAGGGACUUAUCCAUAUGCUAAUCAUUUUGUACUGAAUAUAGCAUGGACUGAC
rnacentral:lncRNA from 1 species